rnacentral:snoRNA from 1 species
AAGACUAUACUUUCAGGGAUCAUUUCUGUAGUUCGUUACUAGACAAUUCACUAUAUAGACCAGGGUGGUCUCAAACUCAGAGA